rnacentral:rRNA from 1 species
AAUCAACGCUGGCGGCGUGCCUAACACAUGCAAGUCGAACGCGACUGGGGCUUCGGCCUCAGUUGAGUGGCGAACGGGUGAGUAACACGUGGGUGACCUACCUUCGAAUGGGGGAGUAACGUCCCGAACGGGAACGGCUAAUACCGCAUAACAUCCUGCCUUUGUAACAGGCGGAGGAUCAAAGACCGGGGAGUCGCAAGACCUGGCGUUUGAAGAGGGGGCCGUGCGUCCGAUUAGCUAGUUGGUGAGGUAACGGCUCACCAGGGCGACGAUCGGUAGCCGGCCUGAGAGGGCGGGACGGCCACACUGGGACUGAGACACGGCCCAGACUCCUACGGGAGGCAGCAGUGGGGAAUUGUUCGCAAUGGGCGCAAGCCUGACGACGCAACGCCGCGUGGAGGAUGAAGGUCUUCGGAUUGUAAACUCCUGUUGCCCGGGACGAAUAGCUCCGACCUAACACGUCGGAGUCUGACGGUACCGGGGUGAGGGAAGCCCCGGCUAACUCUGUGCCAGCAGCCGCCGU